GUCAAGAAGAGGAAGAAAAGAGAGCUUGAGAGCAGUGGGAUUGGGAACAUGGAGAAAAGUCUAAAUGCUUUGUUUUCACCUCUAGUGUUGGAGGUGAGAAUUCUAUUUGGUAUUUCCUGAUGCCUCCUAUUCCUAUUGUUCUCAAGAACUCCUUCCUUUUCUUUUUGGCU
rfam:Triticum urartu cultivar G1812 contig1205744, whole genome shotgun sequence.